GGUAUAGCCAGGUUCGGUAUUAAAAAAGCAAGUGCAAAUAAUUGGGGUAUUGUGUCAAUCAUUGUAGUCACGUGUGAAACUUGCCAUGGACACUAGCACAGCAAGCAUGUGGUGUGUUACCACCGUUGCCAGUAGCGACCACAGCAGUCCAAGGGUAACUCGCUGGUACACCCACGUAGGAAGGCUUGUAAGUUUUUGUAUGAUUUUGUUUAUUUGUUAAAACUGUUGAAAAAAGAGGUCCAAUCUUACAUGCUAAAAAAACAUGCGGCAUUAUAUAAAGCUUCAUCACGUGAUUAGGGUAUUAUAUAAUGUUUCAUAACGUUUCAUGUUCGUUAUUAUGUUUUUUUUAUCUAUUAAACUCCAAUAUUUGCCAGGGUACAACUUCUGUUCCCUGACCAUACGCUUCAGGUUUGUUUGGUGUAUUGCCCUGGGGUAGAAAGCCCCUCUCACGUUUUCAAGAAGGUCAACCGAUAGAACAACAUGUGUAUUGAAUAUUGAUGAGUGGGAUUCCAUGCGGUUUAUAGCAAAGAUGUCCUGAGGAUGGAAGUUUCAAGAUAGAAUCAAAUCAUAGCAGGUGAUUAAUUGAGCGCAAUCAUGAACAAUUCUACACGGCAGGCUAGACAUUUCUAUCUUCGGAUUUUUUUAAUAGUGUUCAACGAGAAUCGAAAGAGAUUGCGCCCGCCUCGUUUCGCUAGACCCACCAAAAUAUCUGUGGUUUGUGCAAAAGCUUCCCAUUAGCGUCCCAGACAAGUUGUCUGUUUACAUGAGCGGCCACUAAACUGACGACAGUAAUUACUUUGCGUAAAACCCAUUCUAUUUUGCUAUUGAAGUCUUGGCCUGUGCUUAGGACAGCAAGUAUUUAUCGCAAGUCGUUUUUGUAAACGAGCUGCUAAAUACACGAUUACACAGCCAGUUAUACGCUUAUUGCAGAAAUAAUCACAGAUAGGGCAUUAAAUUAUGGAAGAGGGUAAAUGAAAGGCUACCGCUCAUUUAGCUUACGCAAGACCUUGAGCGCAAGACCAUAUAGCGUUAUUCUCAACCCAUCACGUCUAUCUGUUGGGAUUAUUUUUAAUAAAGAUCUUAUUAUUUUUACUGCUGAUCGAUACAAUUUACUAAAUUCCACUGCAAAUGCUAUGGCAAAGUAUAUCAAAUUAAGCCAUGGAAUAUCACUGUAUUUAGAAACAAACAGAUAAAAUAUAAUGUAAUGAGUCAUGGCAACAAUGUCCUAGCUGUGACUAGUGAAUUCUUGCUUCACAGUAGGAUAAAAACCAUUCAAUUCCAAGAAGCAUCAUAAUUUGUAAAACUCAACAAGAGAUCUAUAGUCUAAACAACCGAUGGAGCGUUACGUGAGUUGUCUUUUCAAAUGACCUCCAAAUUUUUCUUGAUUAUUUGAUAAUUUAUAAACUAGUGCAGAUAUAGAGUGCUAGGAACACAAUUUUUACGAAGAAGCCUUUUUUUAAGAUUAGUAUGGUAUCUCUAUUAGGCGAUUAUCCUUGGGCCCCGAGACAAGCAUCCGUUGAUAUCUAAAUACUGCAGCAUUUUAAUAAAAACCAAAUAUAUUUCGGGCUCUAUAUAGUGGUUGCCUGAAAAGAUGCAGCAUUUUAAUGAAAAGCAAAUCUCUUUUGAGUUCUAUAUAGUGGUCGCCUGAAAAGAGGUUGGCUGCUUGAUCAAGGUACCGCCAGUGCCAUACUUCGAGAAUCUGUGCCGUAACAUCAAAGCGUCAAGGUAUCAAAUAAAUGGGCAAAUCUUAUACGUUAACAUUCGGUUCAGUUGAAAAUCUUUGAAAAUUCGAUUAAGUUGAAAGUAUUUGAAAGGAUGCGUCAUCGAAAUUGCCCGAAGGGCAGACUACAAUUGUAAAGCAGCAUGAAACUUGAGAUAAAAAACAUGAGUCAAACUUUGUUUUGGUUAUAAAUUCCAUAGCAGUAAAACUGUCGGUGUCCAACCAACUGCAUAGGGGAGGGCAUUGUGUUCUAGUGAUCCGUGCGUGUCCAAUAAUGCAUACCGCAAAAUACAAAAAUAAGCAGCGAAAACAGUUCGGUGUUCAUUCUCACCAAGUGCUGUUCAGGUAGAGUGUGGGAAAUGGCUAAGAUGAGGCGCAUCUGUGUGGUUGCGCUUUUGAUUUCAUUCGCUAUUUCCGUCAAUACACAGAACUCGACAACAGCCACUUCGAUAAUAACGUCAUCUAGCAGUGUGGCGCCAUCUACAACAGACUCCAGUAGUGUGACACCAUCUACAACAUCGAAA